rnacentral:rRNA from 1 species
GAUGAACGCUGGCGGCGUGCCUAAUACAUGCAAGUCGAGCGAACAGACGAGGAGCUUGCUCCUCUGACGUUAGCGGCGGACGGGUGAGUAACACGUGGAUAACCUACCUAUAAGACUGGGAUAACUUCGGGAAACCGGAGCUAAUACCGGAUAAUAUAUUGAACCGCAUGGUUCAAUAGUGAAAGACGGUUUUGCUGUCACUUAUAGAUGGAUCCGCGCCGCAUUAGCUAGUUGGUAAGGUAACGGCUUACCAAGGCAACGAUGCGUAGCCGACCUGAGAGGGUGAUCGGCCACACUGGAACUGAGACACGGUCCAGACUCCUACGGGAGGCAGCAGUAGGGAAUCUUCCGCAAUGGGCGAAAGCCCGACGGAGCAACGCCGCGUGAGUGAUGAAGGUCUUCGGAUCGUAAAACUCUGUUAUUAGGAAGAACAAAUGUGUAAGUAACUAUGCACGUCUUGACGGUACCUAAUCAGAAAGCCACGGCUAACUACGUG